AGUGCUAUUUUUGUUUUAUUUGGAAGGUUUAAAGAAGGUGCUUCACGACAGAGAAGGAGAGUGGUUUUCAGACUUGGAAGUUUCUUUUCGUUUAGGGAUGUGAGGACAUGGAACAUCCACUUGUCAAACCGAAAUGGAGUUCAAAAACUCAUGGACCAUCUCUAUUGGAUAAUUUUGGUAAAUUGAAAGUAUUAAAAGUUGGUAGUUGUAGAUCAAUGAAGUAUCUGUUCUUCGCGUCCACUGCAAGAUGUCUUCCAAAACUACAUGAACUAGUUAGAGAAUGUGAGGCAUUGGAAAAAAUAAUUGGAGGUGAUGAGGAAGUCACGGAUAAAGUUAUUUUUCAUCAGUUAAAGGAAUUGAGGCUGGAAAAUCUGUCAAUUUCAGAAGCAUUUACGCCAAUACGAAGAAGACAAAAACUAUAGAGUGCAUCAUGCCUUCCACCAAUACACAACUCUCUUCAAUGAAAAGGAAAUAGGAAAGAAGUGGCGGAUGAUGUUCCAUUACAGGCCAAAUUUGGAUUAGAAAACCAUUUUGCUAUUUUUGUAUUAAGUCCCUUAUUUUUUUUUUGUAAAACCUUAGUUUGUUAUAUUCGGUAUAGAGAUUUGUGGACUCUUGUUAUUGUAAUUAUAUUUAUGGGCUGUAACUUUAGUAUAAGUUGUCUAAACGUUGUAAGACAUAGACUUUAGAUCUUAACCAUAUAUUUUUGGGACUGUAAUUGUGAUAUUUGGAUUAGAUGGCAUGUAGUUUUUCCACCA